rfam:Flavobacteriaceae bacterium CRH Contig10, whole genome shotgun sequence.
AUCUAGCCCCGAUAGAAAUGGAAAUCCUUUUAUGCCGGCGUUCGGCAUAAAAGAUUGAAAUGUAUAGCGGGACAAGUG